AUUGAACGCUGGCGGAAUGCUUUACACAUGCAAGUCGAACGGCAGCACGGGUGCUUGCACCUGGUGGCGAGUGGCGAACGGGUGAGUAAUACAUCGGGACGUACCCUGACGUGGGGGAUAACACAGCGAAAGUUGUGCUAAUACCGCAUACGUCCUGAGGGAGAAAGCGGGGGAUCGCAAGACCUCGCGCGUUAGGAGCGGCCGAUGGCGGAUUAGCUAGUUGGUGGGGUAAAGGCUCACCAAGGCGACGAUCCGUAGCUGGUCUGAGAGGACGACCAGCCACACUGGAACUGAGACACGGUCCAGACUCCUACGGGAGGCAGCAGUGGGGAAUUUUGGACAAUGGGUGAAAGCCUGAUCCAGCCAUUCCGCGUGAGUGAAGAAGGCCUUCGGGUUGUAAAGCUCUUUCGGCAGGAACGAAACGGUGUGGGCCAAUACCCUGCAUCAAUGACGGUACCUGAAGAAGAAGCACCGGCUAACUACGUGCCAGCCGCCGCGGUAA
rnacentral:rRNA from 1 species